rnacentral:rRNA from 1 species
AACGAACGCUGGCGGCAGGCUUAACACAUGCAAGUCGAACGCCCUCUUCGGAGGGAGUGGCAGACGGGUGAGUAACGCGUGGGAACCUACCCAGUAGUACGGAAUAACUCAGGGAAACUUGUGCUAAUACCGUAUACGCCCUACGGGGGAAAGAUUUAUCGCUAUUGGAUGGGCCCGCGUUGGAUUAGUUUGUUGGUGAGGUAACGGCUCACCAAGGCUACGAUCCAUAGCUGGUCUGAGAGGAUGAUCAGCCACACUGGGACUGAGACACGGCCCAGACUCCUACGGGAGGCAGCAGUGGGGAAUAUUGGACAAUGGGGAAACCCUGAUCCAGCCAUGCCGCGUGAGUGAAGAAGGCCCUAGGGUUGUAAAGCUCUUUCGCUAGGGAAGAUAAUGACGGUACCUAGUAAAGAAGCCCCGGCUAACUUCGUGCCAGCGCCGCGGU